ensembl:snRNA U1 U1 spliceosomal RNA
AUACUUACCUGGCAGUGACAAAACCAGGAUCAGGCAGGUGCUUUUCCCAGGUGAGACUUGUCCAUUGCACUUGGGAUUUGUUGACCCCUGCGAUCUCCCCAAAUGUGGGAAAUUUGACUGCAUGAUUUGUGUUAGUGGGGGACUGUGUGCAUGCUUUCUCCUG